rnacentral:rRNA from 1 species
AUUGAACGCUGGCGGCAUGCUUUACACAUGCAAGUCGAACGGUAACAGGCCGCAAGGUGCUGACGAGUGGCGAACGGGUGAGUAAUGCAUCGGAACGUGCCCAGUCGUGGGGGAUAACUAUCUGAAAGGAUAGCUAAUACCGCAUACGAUCUGCGGAUGAAAGCGGGGGACCUUCGGGCCUCGCGCGAUUGGAGCGACCGAUGUCAGAUUAGGUAGGUGGUGGGGGAAAGGCUCACCAAGCCAACGAUCUGUAGCUGGGCUGAGAGGACGACCAGCCACACUGGGACUGAGACACGGCCCAGACUCCUACGGGAGGCAGCAGUGGGGAAUUUUGGACAAUGGGCGCAAGCCUGAUCCAGCAAUGCCGCGUGCAGGAAGAAGGCCUUCGGGUUGUAAACUGCUUUUGUACGGAGCGAAAAGGCUCCCUCUAAUACAGGGGGCUCACGACGGUACCGUAAGAAUAAGCACCGGCUAACUACGUGCCAGCCGCCGCCGUAAAAC